UAUAAACGUCAUGGCUUAGAGCAUCCGCAAUUAAUGCACAACUCCAUCUGUCGCUAUAUAAAUCUUUUGUUCCAAGGUUAACAAUUGAAUUUCUGUAGUUGAAAUUACCAGUUACUAUACUCUCUCUUUCUGAAACAAUUUGCCCAAUUGUUUGAGAUGUUCAAUAUGAGAUUUGUAUCUCAAGAUUGGGUGGUUUCAUGUGCACUAAUACUUCUGGUGUCAUGCACAACAUACUCAUCAGCUUCUUUGGGGAAACCUGAGAACAACAUAAAAACAUCUGUUUUUAAAUCACCCAAGAUUGAGCUAGGUCCAGGGUUAGUUUCAAACAAAUUUUAUUUUGAUGUUGACUUUCCAAGAGGCCAUAUUGCACUCAAGAGUUUCAAUGCUGAAUUGGUUGAUGAGUCAGAGAAAUCAGUGCCUCUCCAAGAAACCUAUCUCCAUCACUGGCUUAUAAUAAAAUACCACCAGCCAAAAAAUGUGACACACAAUAACCAAACAGAUAUUGUUUUUGUGAGAAACAGUGGCUUUUGCCAGGAUGGUACUCUUAUCCAGUAUUUUGGUCUUGGAUCAGAAACAAGAGGAACCGCCACUGAUAUUCCAGACCCUUUUGGAAUAGAAGUUGGAAACCCUUCAGAAAUUCCAUAUGGAUAUGAUGAGAAAUGGUUGAUCAACGUGCAUGCCAUUGACACAAGGGGCGUGGAAGAUAGGUUGGGGUGCAUUGAGUGUAGGUGUGACCUUUAUAAUAUCACAAAGGAUGCAGAUGGUAACCCUUUGAGUCCAGAUUAUAAGGGAGGUUUGGAUUGUUGCCCUGAUAAUACCACGUGCAGGCUAAACAAAGGCUUCAAGGGUCCAAAGAGAACCUUAUACCUUAAAUACACAGUGAAGUGGUUCAGUUGGGACAACUACGUGGUGCCCCUUAAGAUUUAUAUACUUGAUGUGACUGAUGUUUUGAACGUGUCCAAAGGAGGGACUCCAAAGCAUAAUUGCGAGGUUGAGUAUCAGGUUGAACCUCGCAGCAAAGGCUACAAUAGUAGUGAUGUCAGAAAAACAAGCUUCCCAAUGCAGACUGGUGGAUAUGUCAUCUAUGGUGUUGGUCAUCAGCAUGCAGGUGCAAUUGCAUCAACGCUACACGGACAGGAUGGGGGAGUUAUUUGUUCUUCAAUACCAAAAUAUGGUACUGGAAGUGAAGCAGGAAAUGAGAAAGGGUAUGUUGUAGGAAUGUCCACAUGUUACCCUCGACCAGGUACUAUCAAAAUAAAAGAUGGUGAAACCCUAACUCUAGAGAUUAUCUACAGCAACAGCGAAAUGCACAGUGGAGUAAUGGGGCUUUUCUACAUCUUGGUGGCAGAACAACUGCCACACCAACACCACCUUUGACAUUAUUAUAUGUUCAAUAUGAGAUUUGUAUCUCAAGAUUGGGUGGUUUCAUGUGCACUAAUACUUCUGGUGUCAUGCACAACAUACUCAUCAGCUUCUUUGGGGAAACCUGAGAACAACAUAAAAACAUCUGUUUUUCUAUCACCCAAGAUUGAGCUAGGUCCAGGGUUAGUUUCAAACAAAUUUUAUUUUGAUGUUGACUUUCCAAGAGGCCAUAUUGCACUCAAGAGUUUCAAUGCUGAAUUGGUUGAUGAGUCAGGGAAAUCACUGCCUCUCCAAGAAACCUAUCUCCAUCACUGGUUUAUAAUAAAAUACCAACAGCCAAAAAAUGUGACACACAAUAACCCAACAGAUAAUAUUGUUUAUGUGAGAAACAGUGGCUUUUGCCAGGAUGGUCCUCUUAUCCAGUAUUUUGGUCUUGGAUCAGAAACAAGAGGAACUGCCACUGAUAUUCCAGACCCUUUUGGAAUAGAAGUUGGAAACCCUUCAGAUAUUCCAUAUGGAUAUGAUGAGAAAUGGUUGAUCAACGUGCAUCCCAUUGACACAAGGGGUGUGGAAGAUAGGUUGGGGUGCAUUGAGUGUAGGUGUGACCUUUAUAAUAUCACAAAGGAUGCAGAUGGUAACCCUUUGAGUCCAGAUUAUAAGGGAGGUUUGGAUUGUUGCCCUGAUAAUACCACGUGCAGGCUAAACAAAGGCUUCAAGGGUCCAAAGAGAACCUUAUACCUUAAAUACACAGUGAAGUGGUUCAGUUGGGACAACUACGUGGUGCCCCUUAAGAUUUAUAUACUUGAUGUGACUGAUGUUUUGAGCGUGUCCAAAGGAGUAACUCCAAUGCAUAAUUGCGAGGUUGAGUAUCAGGUUGAACCUUGCAGCAAAGGCUACAGUAGUAGUGCUUGCAUUGAUGUCAGAAAAACAAGCUUCCCAAUGCAAAAUGGUGGAUAUGUAAUCUAUGGUGUUGGUCAUCAGCAUGUAGGUGCAAUUGCAUCAAAACUAUACGGACAGGAUGGGGGAGUUAUUUGUUCUUCAAUACCAAAAUAUGGAACUGGAAGUGAAGUAGGAAAUGAGGGAGGGUAUGUUGUAGGAAUGUCCACAUGUUACCCUCGACCAGGUACUAUCAAAAUAAAAGAUGGUGAAACCCUAACUCUAGAGAUUAUCUACAGCAACAGCGAAAUGCACAGUGGAGUAAUGGGGCUUUUCUACAUCUUGGUGGCAGAACAACUGCCACACCAACACCUCCUUUGACAUUAUUGUGUCCUAACUAAAUUCAUCUUGGAAGUGGAUCCAAGAGACUAUUAUAUUAUAUGAUAUCUAUAUGAGUAAGUGAAUAUGUUGUGAUGAAAAAUAAAGCCAGCUCUGAGUCUUGUAAUAAUGGCUAAGUAUUAAUGUAUUAUACUAUAGUCGCAUGUCUUGAGAUAA